UACGUAGGGUGCGAGCGUUAAUCGGAAUUACUGGGCGUAAAGCGUGCGCAGGCGGCUUGCCAAGUCAGAUGUGAAAGCCCCGGGCUCAACCCGGGAAUGGCGUUUGAAACUGGCAGUCUAGAGUUUGGCAGAGGGGGGUGGAAUUCCACGUGUAGCAGUGAAAUGCGUAGAGAUGUGGAGGAACACCGAUGGCGAAGGCAGCCCCCUGGGCCAAAACUGACGCUCAGGCACGAAAGCGUGGGGAGCAAACAGG
rnacentral:rRNA from 1 species